UGAGGAAUAUUGGUCAAUGGACGCAAGUCUGAACCAGCCAAGUAGCGUGCAGGAUGACGGCCCUAUGGGUUGUAAACUGCUUUUAUAUGGGGAUAAAGUGGGGAACGUGUUCCCUUUUGCAGGUACCAUAUGAAUAAGGACCGGCUAAUUCCGUGCCAGCAGCCGCGGUAAUACGGAAGGUUCGGGCGUUAUCCGGAUUUAUUGGGUUUAAAGGGAGCGUAGGCCGUUUGGUAAGCGUGUUGUGAAAUGUAGGAGCUCAACUUCUAGAUUGCAGCGCGAACUGUCAGACUUGAGUGCGCACAACGUAGGCGGAAUUCAUGGUGUAGCGGUGAAAUGCUUAGAUAUCAUGAAGAACUCCGAUUGCGAAGGCAGCUUACGGAAGCGCAACUGACGCUGAAGCUCGAAGGUGCGGGUAUCGAACAGG
rnacentral:rRNA from 1 species